GCUGUGGAGCGUCAUACAAACCAAAGUAGUUCCGACGAAAUGGGACGCUACGAAGCAGUAA
rnacentral:ncRNA from 1 species